rnacentral:lncRNA from 1 species
GGGUGCUCUCCCUUCACAGCUGCAGCCCAAGGAAGCUAAACCUUGGCUGCAGCCUGCCUUUCUCCAUGUCCCAGCUGUGUGCCAGUUCCAGAAGGGCUGGAACAGCAGAGAGCUGAGAUAAGAGCCCUACCCCUUCCUUGGUGCCGUGAGCAUGAGAUGAAGGAUGAAGAGGAACUCAAGAUGCUGUCAAGAUUUCCCUUUGUACAUAUCUGAUCAGUUCAUGCCAGGUUUGGCUCCGUGCCCUUCCAGGGGAGAGCCUCCACCAGCAGGACAAGGUGGUUCAGCCCUCGGCGCAGCAAUGGAGACAGGAUUAGAAGCUGGGCUGGGGAUGGCUCCCACUCCGCAAGGCAUGGGAUCUGUGAGAAAUACCUUGGGAAGACAUUGCCUUUUUCUGGAGAGGUGGGUAUUGCCUGGAUGUGCUCCUUGGCUGCCAUAAAUCAGUAUAAAUGCAUUCAUUUUAGUGGAGGUGUCGUGUCUACUGGAGUCAGGCCCUGUGAUGUUGCUCAUUACACAGGUUUUGGGUAAGGAGCCAAGAGAUGAAGGGAGGCACGGCUACAACAUUUUAAAUAAAUAAGUAAUAAGACUCUACA